GACGAGCCACACAAACGUUAUUCGGAAUCACGGGGCUUAAAGGGUGCGUAGGCGGCGCGGAAAGUGGGGUGUGAAAGCCCUCGGCUCAACCGAGGAAUUGCGCUCCAAACUACCGUGCUUGAGUGAGACAGAGGUAAGCGGAACUUCGGGUGGAACGGUGAAAUGUGUUGAUAUCCGAAGGAACACCGGUGGCGAAAGCGGCGUCCUGGACCAACACUGACACUGAUGAGCGAAAGCCAGGGGAGCAAACGGG
rnacentral:rRNA from 1 species